rnacentral:rRNA from 1 species
GGUGAGUAAUGUCUGGGAAACUGCCUGAUGGAGGGGGAUAACUACUGGAAACGGUAGCUAAUACCGCAUAACGUCGCAAGACCAAAGAGGGGGACCUUCGGGCCUCUUGCCAUCAGAUGUGCCCAGAUGGGAUUAGCUAGUAGGUGGGGUAACGGCUCACCUAGGCGACGAUCCCUAGCUGGUCUGAGAUGAUGACCAGCCACACUGAACUGAGACACGGUCCAG